UGUGGGCGGUUUCGAAGGAACUCAGGGACGCCGUGGUUCCCUUGCAGACCUGAAUGCCGGCCGUGGCGACCACAUCGUUGAGCUGGUGUACCUACAGCGUAGUUAGUAAUAGUGACUGUGUUAGUAGACUGUGUGAACCGGUGCCCCAAGUGUCGGCUCAGAAACUCUCCACAUCGCGGAAGGCAAUUUUGAAUAGGACUCUACGGAAAACAAGGGGUACCAAUGAUGGGUACCAAGUACCAAUGAUGGUGUUCCAGGUUCUCUGGAAGUCACUGAGAGCUUUACCGUGAGAGAUGGAAACAACAAUGGGUGCAUUCCCAGACGAUCCGUCACUCCUACUGCAAGGCGUAUGAAGAAGUAAGAAAAAAAAAAGGUCAUAGGAAAUGGCACUAAAGUGACAUAUCUUAUGGA